UCAUCUCCUGGCGCCGUGACGUCACGCGCCGCGGACACUAUAAGUAGCGAGGCGGCGGCGAGGCUCGGCAGUCGUCUCUUCCAAGCACCACCACCACCACCACCAUGCUGAAACACCCUCUCGCCCUCCUGUCCCUCGCCCUGCUCCUCGGCGUGGUCUGCGUCAGCGCCGGCGGCGGCUACGGCCGCGGCGGCGGCGGCGGCGGCUUCGGCCGCGGCGGCGGCGGCGGAUUUAGAGGAGGAAAGGGCGGCUUUGGCGGCGGCGGAUUUGGCGGUGGAAAGGGCGGCUUUGGCGGCGGCGGCUUCGGAGGCGGCGGCAAGGGAGGCUUCGGCGGCGGUUUUGGAGGCGGCAAGGGUGGAUUUGGCGGCGGCGGAUUCGGCGGUGGCGGAUUCGGCGGCGGCAAGGGAGGUUUCGGCGGUGGUGGAUUCGGCGGUGGCGGCCAUGGCGGCGGCUACGGCAAAUAAGUCUUCCCUUCCGCCACCUCUUCGCUGCGACGCCUGAACGUGUGCACAUACACAGUCGUGUACGCCUGUGUGCGUUUAUGUAUGUGCGUGCACAAAUAGGCAAAAUCCAUGAAGCUUCCCCUCCCUCUCCCCUUCACCCCAUGCACCACACCUCCUCAUUUCAUUUCCCCUCCUCUCGACCCUCUCAUCGUACCCUCAUUUUUUUAUCGCCGCAACGAGGAUCAAUAAACCUACAACGAAACCAGAA